rnacentral:lncRNA from 1 species
UUAAAAUUACCAUUUUAGGGGCAGCAACCCAACAACGGGUUGUCCGAUUCAUCUGAAAAUUUCAGGGCAGAUAGAUCUUGACCUGAUCAACACUUUUACCCUGUCAGAUAUGCUCUAAAUGCUUUGGUUUUUGAGUUAUAAGCCAAAACCUGCAUUUUACCCCUAUGUUCUAUUUUUAGCCAUGGCGGCCAUCUUGGUUGGUUGGCCGGGUCACCGGACACAUUUUUUAAACUAAAUACCCAAUGAUGAUUGUGGCCAAGUUUGGUUUAAUUUGGCCCAGUAGUUUCAGAGGAGAAGAUUUUUGUAAAAGUUAACGACGACGGACGACGACGGACGCCGGACGCAAAGUGAUGGGAAAAGCUCACUUGGCCCUUUGGGCCAGGCGAGCUAAAAA